CUCGAGCCUCCUGAGGAGAGGGGAGGAGGCGGCGGAAGAGGGAGGGACGGGCGCUGUGAUCCCAGAAGAUGAAAUGGUAGUUCCAGAGCUUGACAGAGCGCUCCUCUUUCUGCAUCCAAUACAGAUGAAGUAUCCAAAGG
rnacentral:lncRNA from 1 species